rnacentral:rRNA from 1 species
GACCGGCGCACGGGUGAGUAACGCGUAUGUAAUCUACCUGUAACAGAGGGAUAACCCGGAGAAAUCCGGACUAAUACCUCAUAGCACAUAUUAUUCGCAUGAAUUUUAUGUUAAAGAGACUCGGUUACAGAUGAACAUGCGUUCCAUUAGCUAGUUGGCGGGGUUACGGCCCACCAAGGCAACGACGGAUAGGGGUUCUGAGAGGAAGGUCCCCCACACUGGUACUGAGACACGGACCAG